UUCUUUCUCUGCGCCCCUCUCCCCCUCCCCCCGCAAAUUCGUUGGUGGAUUAGUAGAUAGAAGAAAAUAUAAUAAUUAACUUUUUCUUGUAGAAGAGCAGCAUCAUUUUUGCUUGAAUUCCUUCUCGCUUACGCUACGUCUUCCUGAAUGUAGUAACACUGAUGUCUACUAAGACAAGUAGAACAUACACAGAAAGGCAAUGGAGCAAAACCAGGCAUCCAUUCUAUUUCAGGUAUCUUAAGUGGCUCGUCGAAGUUAACACAGGCAUAAGCAGCCGUGUUGUAAGACUGGAAAGCUGCAUCCUGCAAGCUGAGCAAAUCAUUCUUAAGGGAUUUGAGGACUAAGCAAAAUCUUCUAUAGGACACCCCUUUUCAUGAGGAUAUCUUCAAGCUUCACGUACUGGUAUGAAGAUAAUGCAAAAAUAUGUUCACUAGUAGACCCUCUUCAGUACAGGUA